UUAUAGGCAACGUCUCUUCCAGAGAUAGUGAUGACACUCCCAUUAUAUUUUCCUUCAAACAAAGCAAAGUUCAUAACCAUAAGAAAAUCGAGCUCAGUUUGUGAGGUAGAUGCCAAAAACCCUUGUGCCCUGCCUAACAACUUCGAGCUCAAUUUUGGUCCUAACGUUAAAGCGUUGUCAAAUAUCCUCACUAAACCAAAAACACUAUAAUCGUUGUCGAAUUUGGGGAGAGGUGGAAUAAUUGGAAUGGACGUAGCGUUGUUUCCUCCAACAAUGUCUUGCCAGUAGAAUCUAAAAUGACUAAAAUUUUCUUUCUUUUUAAACAACUUAGGAUUUAUUGAGCUCACAAAACCGGUCUCCUCUUGUUCACUGAAGAUUGUGAGGAUGUAGCAAGAGAUGAUAAGAAGGAAGAAGAAGAAAUUUUGAAAAGAACCCAUAGCCAUAUGUUUACUAUGAUUAGGGCAAAACACUUUUUUUAAUCCAACAAAAAUGAAAUUAGUGAAGAGAAAAUUUAUGAGUAAGGUGAAAUUAGGAAACUUAGGAUCUAAAUGAGUAAGUGUGAUAAGUAUACAUUUUUCAGACAAUUAUAUAGAACAAUGCAACCUUGACUGAAUAACACAUGAUGUAGUUAAUUGUAGAAAUAAUGAAAAAUAUAUCAAUUUUUAUUCCAUUUUUCAAAGAUUUUUGGUCUUUGCAAGUGACUUGAAAAAUGUACUAUUAUAUAUUUUGUGGAAAAGCUUUUUUUAAAAUAAUUUUCUAGCGAUUAGGUUUGGACCAUAGAUUCUUUUUCUCAUAAUAAUACAAUGAUAUAGUUGAAAUUAAGACUCAUAAUCUCAUAUGAAUUAUUAAAAUAUUUUAACACCGGGACUUCAACUUUAGCAUAUUAAGAAAUUGAAACAUUGACUAAUAUGUAAUUCGUUGAACUUUUUCUAUAUAUUUAAAGGAACAGUUUUUUUUUCUUUCCUAAUAAUAAAAUGAUAAGCUUGAAAUUUAAACUCAUAAUGCCGUGCGAAUUAUUUAAAUAUCUCAAUACUAAGGGUUCAAUUUUAGGCUUAGCAUAAAUAGAAAAUAUCAUUCGUAGUAAUUUACACGUGGAAUUAUAGAUAAAUAUUUUUAAUUCCAAGAAAUUUCAACUACAGAACAUUUUAUAUGAUGUCAUUUGUUUUAUUUAUUUAUUUAUUUGUCUUAUGUAGAUAUCGUAAUGGUUGUUGUGGCACCAUUUAACCUAUAUCCUGUCUUAGGUUCAUUAAUAAAUAACUCUAGUCAAAUGGUGCCACUACCGGAGGAUCAAAUUAUGCUACUCAAGCAAUGUCGACUUUGAAUGUGGAAUUUCUUAUGUCGAUGAGACAGUAAAUGGCUGAAAGUAAUCAUAAAAUAGUUAACAUGUUGACUCAAUAGAUUGAUACUGUGUUCAAUCUCUUAUUUCAGAACACCGAUCAAAGUCACUAUAAGAAAAACGAUCUCCAAACACAUUAUAUAGUGAAGAGAAAAUCACGUGGCAAUAAAAGGGAGUUGCGAUGUGAAUAUCACGCGGCUACAUAUUUUUAUUAUUAAAAAAUUGACACUGUUGUAUGCACAUAGGAAAAACAUAAAAAAAAAUUAAAACAAAACUUUGUGACGUGUUAAUCACAUCGCAACUUUAAAAAUAAAAUAAAAAAUAAAAGAAGUUAGGCGUGUAAAAAUUAGCACAUGAGAAAGACAAAAAAAAUUUUAAAAAAAAUAUUGAGAUGUGGUAAUCAUGUCACAACUUUAAAAGUAAAAGAAGUCAGAAGUGCACAGGUUAGCAGGUGGGGGAAAUUUGAAAAUUUCAAAAUUUUAGUUGUGACGUGAAAAUCACAUCGCAACUUGAAUUUCAGAAACUAAAAAAAAGAGUAAAUGAGGGACGCUGACUUGAUGAUGAACGUUUGACUGACACAUUUAUUUGACCGUUAGAGAGUUGCGAUGUGAAUUUUAUUUCGCAAGGUUGCGACGUGAAAUUCACGCUGAAUUGACUAUAUAAAUUUCAUUUCCUCUAUUACGCUCAGAAUCAUAUUCACCUCUUCCUCUCAAAUUCAUUUCUCAAUUCAUUUCAUCAACAUAUUUCAUCUUCAAAUUUCUUCCCCUAAUAUUAUCUUUCUCAAAAGGUAUUUUAAGAUAAUUUAAUUUUUUCAUUUUUUAUUUGUUAAAUAUUAUGUUGAUUUUUUAAUUGUAUAACUAAUACUCUUAAUUUUUUUCUUCAAGAUUCAUCAAGAUAUAUCACAAUUCAAACAUCAAGGUUUAAAAAUCAAGUUUUUGUUUAUCAUCAUUGAUAUAUUUUAGAAAUUUAUUUAAUUUUUUUCCCAGUAUAUAUAUAUAUAUAUAUAUAUAUAUAUAUAUAUAUAUGGUUGUUGGUUGUUGUUAUUGUAAAUUUAUUAUGUAGGAUAAUUUUUUUAAAAACAAAAUAUUAUUAAAAUAAAUCUAUAACUAUUAAUAUAUUUAAAAAUAAUUUAAAAAAAACAGAAUUUAAGUUUCAGUUUUUUCAAUCGUAAUGUUUUCAUUAUCAAUUUUUAAUAUUCUGAAUGUUUGUGAUUCAGAGAUAUAGUGUGACAUUAGCGGUAUGAAUGACUAUUUUGACGGUUUCACGCGGAUCACCAAUGUUUCUUGUGGAAUAAUAUGGUGAACAUUGAUCCUCAGUAAAUGAACAAAUAAUAUUUGUUUAUGGAAAUAAAAGAAAAUCAAUAAAUUCACUUAUUUUAUCCUUCAAUUUAGUCAAAAAAAAAAUUGAGGUAAAAGGUUUUUCUUUUUUACAUAAAAAAUAAAAUAAAAUAUGGACUUUACCCCUAAGUGUUUAUUGCACCAAGGUAAUAGAUUACUUCUAUUACAAAAAAAUUAUGAAUGAAAAAAUUGAAAGUAACAUGCAUUGUUUCCUUUUUCAACUUUUUACCAUUCACCAAAUUUAUUUGUAUGUUGCAAUAAUAAAACAAAGGAUAUUCUAAACAAAUUUUCUAAGAUCUAGUUUUGUAAAACAAAAAAAAUUGCAAUAUGAUUAGGAAUAAAUUUCUCAAUAUUGUCAAUCAAAGAAAUGAAUAUAUUAUAGAAUGUUUUCUUCGACUGACAAUAUUGAAAAUUUAUUCUAAUAUAUAACAAUAUUUCUUUUACCAUUCAAUAUUGGCAAGAAAUAGAAACAACAACAACACACCAUUAUGUGAGAUAAACUAUAAUAACAGAAAAAUGAUUUGUUUGAGUUUGAUGUUAGAAGAACAACAACACAAAACAAAAUAAUUUUUCAGUCUUGAAAUCCAUCCAAAAAAAUGAUGUUUAUAUUAUAUAUAUAUAUAUAUAUAUAUAUAUAUACACAAAACAAAAUAAUUUUUCAGUCUUGAAAUCCAUCCAAAAAAAUGAUGUUUAUAUUAUAUAUAUAUAUAUAUAUAUAUAUAUAUAUAUAUAUAAACGAGUUAGAUUUAUUUAGGAUAAAAUUUAGUGAACGAAUCCUUUUAUAGCUAAUUCCGGGUAUCAUAUCCUCGGUUAUUAGGCAAACAAAUGAAAUAGAUUAUUCAAUAAUUUAAUGAAAAUUAAAAUAAAAAGAAAGACACCCCUUUUAAUGAAAUAAAAAUAAAAACUACAAUUGCUGGGAUCGAAGCCUAACCCUGAAUCAUUAUACCCCUCGCUUAUAAUGAAUAAUUGAGGGAAUAAAUGGUAUUGUUUUUGAAAAAAAUAAUAACGUAGUGCGUCUAAGAAUUAUACCUCGGAUUUUUGUUAGGUGAGGUGAAAGUGCUGUGAUAAAAUGUAUUUUUUGUAGUAGUGAAAGCCUUACAUCUAAACAUUCUUAAGUAACCAUAUAAGAGAUAUUUUUUCCCAAUACAUACUUGGUUUUGAAAAUCACCUUCAAGUGGAACAAAAGGAUAAAGGUUGAUCAAAUCCACUACACUUGCCAAUGCUUCACCCCCAAAAGGCAUUUGAUAAAUUUGCAUGAGAGAUCAUACACCUAAUUCUGUUAUUAAUCAUACGAUUUAUUCUCUCUAUAACUCCAUAAUAUUGAAGCGUCUUUGGAAUAGUCUUCUCAAACUUGAUUCCAUGAUCUUUGAAAGAUUGUUUGAAUGGACCUCUAUACUCUCUGCCAUUUUUUAGCUCUGACACGUUUUAUCCUCCUUCCUUUUUCUCUUUAAACACUUGCAUGAAAGUGCUUGAAAACACUUAUUACGUGGUCUUCAAAAUUCAAAACAAAAGCUCAUGCAUUUUUAGAGUGGUCGUCAAUAAAAGUAACAAAAUAUGAUGCACCACUUAAAGAUUUAUCAUCCAUCAUGUAAAUAUCAGUGUGACCUAAAUCUAAAAUAGUUGGCCUCCUAUGAGGACAAUUACUAUGAAAUGGACCUCUAUGUUGCUUAAAAAUAAUAAUUAGUACAAGUUUUAAGAGGGGUACCUUUUAUUGGAAGAAAAACUUUCUUUAAAAGAAUGUGAGUCCUUUCUCACUAAAGUGACCAAGGUGAGUAUUCCCUAAAUAAUUAGAUGCAUCUUUAACUCUAAUCAUUCCCCCACUCUUCAAUAACUUUGUAGAUAUCUUGUAUAGACAUGUGCGACUUUUCUCCUUUGCUACCACGAGUGACCGUUUAGGGAUCUUACAUAGGUCAUCACUGUUAAAGUAAGUGUGAUAAUCCUUAAUAUCCAAGACUUUGGAAGAAAUUAAGUUGGGACGAAUAUCAGUAACAUGUCUCUCAUUCUUAAAUUGAAGCUUACAUCCAACACUAGUUUCAUCUCAAACAUUUCCAUUUUGACAAUUCAAAAGCCACCAACGGUAUAUGAUGAGAAGAAAUUGCACCUAAAAAAGUAACAUGGUUCGAGAAACAUGAAUCAGUAAUCCAAAUUGAAUCAUAACAUGUAAGGUUUGUGAAAUUAUCAUCAUAAACAUGUAAACAUCAUUGUAUGUGCAACUGUUGCCCUGUCUUUAUUAUUUUUCUUCUCACUGCCUUUAUCUUUUUUCUUGAAUAUUCUCUUUUAAGAAACCUAUAGUUUAUUUUUAUGUGUCACACCUUACCACAUUUGUAUCGUAUGACUUCUUUUUUAGCUUCUGAAUUGAUGCGUUUCUCAAAUUUGUGACACUUCUGAAACUUUCUAAUUUUGUUUCUCCCUCGUAAUUCUGAAACCUGAGCUUUUGAAUGAUUAGGAGAAAAAUCAAAUCAUACUCCUUUCUUAUAGCUUCUUCAUUAAACAUAUUGUAUUUAACUAACAUUAUCAAUUUUCUAUUUAAUGCAGAAUUAGUAAAUGUCAUAACAAAAAUUUCCCAAUAGAAUUCAUAAAUAUUAUUAAUAAAAGCAUCUUCGAUGCAUGUUCUCACUAGGAUUCCUAAAUAUAAUAAUAAGUUUUGUUGAAACAAAUAAAAAAAUUAGAGAAUGCUUCAUUUAUAAUUUUUAAACAAAGAUUAUAUUAAGAGAGUACAAAGUAUACUCUAACCUUUAUCCAAGUGAUUCCAAAUUGUAGAAAUACAAGCCAAAGGAUUUAGGCUCCAAAUUUAAAAUAAAAAAAAAACCCUUUAAAUUCUUUAGAGUUUAGAACCAACCAUUCCCAAAUUAAAAAUUUGACUUGAAAAAUUUGUUCUACCUCAAAACAAUACAUUGUUCCUACCUAAUUAGUUUUUGGCAAUAUUCAAUUACAAAAUAGUUUUUAUACUAUUAACUAUCUUUUCACUUAUCAAUUAACUUAUAAUCUAUUUUUAUCGAACAAAAUCUAAAGAAUAUGAAACAGUUUAAAAGUUUUGUUCUAACUUUUUAAAGUCAUAAAGAAGAAUAUCAAACAAAAAGAAGUAUAAUAUAUUUCUUUAAAAUCAUUUUUUAUUAAUAAUUUCUAUUUAUGCUAUAUAAUAAUUAAUAAGAAUAUCGAUAAAAUAUAUUAAAAUCUUUUGAUUUAAUUUAUGAUAAUACAAGUUAGUUUAGUGGUCACUUAUUUAUAUUUUAGCAUGUCAUGAUAUCAAAAAAAGUUUGGGAUCUCAUGAUCAUUUAGUUAGAGUAGCUCGUUGUCGCAGAAAAAAUAUACAUCUCGACUUUAAAAUUUUCAAUUUAACUAUUCCAAAAAUUAUAGAAGACAUUAAACUCAGUUUUAAAAAUAUCGGAAACUAAAACUUAACUUUAUUCAAAACCAUGAAACCAAAAAUUCAUUUAAACUAACUGUUUCAAAUCAUUUGAGUUAUCUCUUUCCCCUUAUUCAAAACAAUGAAACUAAAAAUUCAUUUAAACUUAAAAAAUAUUUAUACAAAUAUGUUUAAUGACAUCUCACUAUAUAGCAAAUAUAAGAUAUGAUAUAAGUAAUGCAUGUGGCAAAGAAAUUAUAUUAUUAAUAUUAACAAUUAAUCUCUUAGUCUUUGAAUUUUAUUGAAACAAGCAUUCUUACUCUCUUUGCCAAAUCUAAAGUGUGAAAAUUAUCAAAAAAAAUUAUCUAGACGAAAUAAUAGUAAUUACUAAAAUUUCAUACACAAUAAUAAGAAAAAAGCUUUGAAUUCAAAAAUUAGUUUUAAAGUAUAUGAGAUAUAUUUCAAUAAUGCAAAGUUUUAUUAUUCGAAUCAUGAUAUUGAUUACAAUUACACACCAACAAACAAGAUACAGAUCACGAUAUCAAUCCUCACAUGAAAAACAUGCAAAGAUAAACAUCAUCACUAGUUAUUAACAACAAAACAAAAAACAUCAAUACUGAUGAGAAACAAAGACAUUGUAUUCAACAACUGUAUUUCCUUUUAUUGGAUCAAAAGAGAUUGUGUUAGCUUCAGCAUAUCCCUUAGCAAAUCGAAAAACACCGCUCCCUCCAAUCACAGGCAAUUCUCUUACCUUACUAUUGACAAUAUUCCUUCCUAAGAUAGAGAUGACGCUCCCGUUAUAUUUUCCUUCAAACAACGCAAAGUUCAUAACCAUAAGAAAAUCGAACUCGGUUUGUGAGGUAGAUGCAUAAAACCCUUGUGCUCUACCUAACAAUUUCGAGCUCAAUUGUGGUCCUAACGUUAAAGCGUUGUCAAUUAUCCUCACUAAACCAAAAGCACUAAAUG
rnacentral:lncRNA from 1 species